CUACGGGUGGCUGCAGUGGGGAAUAUUGGACAAUGGGCGCAAGCCUGAUCCAGCAAUGCCGCGUGAGUGAUGAAGGCCUUAGGGUUGUAAAGCUCUUUUACCCGGGAUGAUAAUGACAGUACCGGGAGAAUAAGCUCCGGCUAACUCCGUGCCAGCAGCCGCGGUAAUACGGAGGGAGCUAGCGUUGUUCGGAAUUACUGGGCGUAAAGCGCGCGUAGGCGGCUGCUCAAGUCAGAGGUGAAAGCCCGGGGCUCAACCCCGGAACUGCCUUUGAAACUAGGUAGCUAGAAUCUUGGAGAGGUCAGUGGAAUUCCGAGUGUAGAGGUGAAAUUCGUAGAUAUUCGGAAGAACACCAGUGGCGAAGGCGACUGACUGGACAAGUAUUGACGCUGAGGUGCGAAAGCGUGGGGAGCAAACAGGAUUAGAUACCCUAGUAGUC
rnacentral:rRNA from 1 species